rnacentral:rRNA from 1 species
UGGGGAAUAUUGGACAAUGGGCGCAAGCCUGAUCCAGCAAUGCCGCGUGAGUGAUGAAGGCCUUAGGGUUGUAAAGCUCUUUCGCACGCGACGAUGAUGACGGUAGCGUGAGAAGAAGCCCCGGCUAACUUCGUGCCAGCAGCCGCGGUAAUACGAAGGGGGCUAGCGUUGUUCGGAAUUACUGGGCGUAAAGGGCGCGUAGGCGGCCUGUUUAGUCAGAAGUGAAAGCCCCGGGCUCAACCUGGGAAUAGCUUUUGAUACUGGCAGGCUUGAGUUCCGGAGAGGAUGGUGGAAUUCCCAGUGUAGAGGUGAAAUUCGUAGAUAUUGGGAAGAACACCGGUGGCGAAGGCGGCCAUCUGGACGGACACUGACGCUGAGGCGCGAAAGCGUGGGGAGCAAACAGGAUUAGAUACCCUGUAGUCCACGCCGUAAACGAUGAAUGCUAGACGUCGGGGUGCAUGCAGCUUCGGUGUCGCCGCUAACGCAUUAAGCAUUCCGCCUGGGGAGUACGGCCGC